rnacentral:rRNA from 1 species
AGAGCGAACGCUGGCGGCGUGCUUAACACAUGCAAGUCGAACGCGCAGCAUUCUGUAGCAAUACAGGGUGUGGGCGCGUGGCGAACGGGUGCGUAACACGUGGAUAACCUUCCUUGAGGUGGGGAAUAACCCAGUGAAAAUUGGGCUAAUACCGCAUAACAUCGCGAUGGCACAUGCUGAUGCGAUCAAAGGCGCAAGUCGCCACAAGAGGGAUCCGCGGCCGAUUAGCUUGUUGGCGAGGUAAUGGCUUACAACGACGA